rnacentral:lncRNA from 1 species
CCCCUACCGUCUAAUUUUUGGAACGUGUAUACCCUUUGGACUAACAGAGGGACACGUGUGACGAACUUAACAACCUAUCCAAAAUUUAUUUAAUUUUUAUAUCCAAUUAAAAAAUUGACCCGAAUAAUAAAAAACCCACCCAAAUAAUUUUUGACCCGCAUCGAAAUAAAUCUAAUUUUUCCUUUCUUCUCUAGUCCAAGAACCAGUCACACAAAGAACUGCAACAAUCUAUCUUCUCUGGCGAAGCUCCAGAUACGAAACCAUCUCUAACUGCUAUCGAACCUAACCUCCCUCGCUCCAGUGAAAUCAGCGGGGUAGUGACCCUUAAUCCACCAUGAAACCUGACCACCACUCACCCAUCUCUCCCUCACCGUUGCUCCAACAGCUCCGGCGAACCAAACCAGCGACCAUGGAAUGGAUUUAUAGUCGCAAAACUCAAUAACUUGUUUACAUAGCUGAAACUUUGAAAAAUGAAGAUUGUAGGGCUGAAAGCCAAGAAAAGAGAUCCGUGAAAAUCCAAAAAUCAACAAUACAUUCAAUAAUCACACUACAAUGAGAAAUAUAAAAUAAAAUUAGUCAUAAAUCAGACAAGAAAAAUAUGGAAGUAUAGGGAACAAACAUACCUCUAGCUCUCUUUACAGAGCUUCAACAAUGGAGGUCAAGAAGAUACUCCGUAACCCAUAGCUAAUCUGUGGCGUGGGAAUGUUCUUGGAUUCCAAAAUGUACCACAAAAAAAAGAAUUUAUGGGUAAGCAAGAAGAAAAAACAAAUGAAAAAUUGCCUCUAACACCAGAAAAACCAAACUCAAUUUCAUCAAACUGAAAACCACCCAAAGUGCUGUAUAGAUGAGUUUCCAACUCUG